rnacentral:misc_RNA from 1 species
GAUGAAGAACGUAGCGAAAUGCGAUAACUAAUGUGAAUUGCAGAAUUCCGUGAAUCAUUGAGUCUUUGAACGCACAUUGCGCCCCUUGGUAUUCCGAGGGGCAUGCCUGUUCGAGCGUCAUUAUAACCCUCAAGCUCAGCUUGGUGUUGGGGCCUGCUGCACUGGCAGCCCUUAAAAUCAGUGGCGGCGCCAUCUGGCUCUAAGCGUAGUAAUUCUUCUCGCUAUGGAGUCCUGGUGGACGCUUGCCAUCAACCCCCAAUUUUUCUAUGGUUGACCUCGGAUCAGGUAGGGAUACCCGCUGAACUUAAGCAUAUCAAUAAGCGGAGGA